rnacentral:rRNA from 1 species
AUGAACGCUAGCUACAGGCUUAACACAUGCAAGUCGAGGGGCAGCAUGGUCUUAGCUUGCUAAGGCCGAUGGCGACCGGCGCACGGGUGAGUAACACGUAUCCAACCUGCCGUCUACUCUUGGACAGCCUUCUGAAAGGAAGAUUAAUACAAGAUGGCAUCAUGAGUCCGCAUGUUCACAUGAUUAAAGGUAUUCCGGUAGACGAUGGGGAUGCGUUCCAUUAGAUAGUAGGCGGGGUAACGGCCCACCUAGUCUUCGAUGGAUAGGGGUUCUGAGAGGAAGGUCCCCCACAUUGGAACUGAGACACGGUCCAAACUCCUACGGGAGGCAGCAGUGAGGAAUAUUGGUCAAUGGGCGAGAGCCUGAACCAGCCAAGUAGCGUGAAGGAUGACUGCCCUAUGGGUUGUAAACUUCUUUUAUAAAGGAAUAAAGUCGGGUAUGGAUACCCGUUUGCAUGUACUUUAUGAAUAAGGAUCGGCUAACUCCGUGCCAGCAGCCGCGGUAAUACGGAGGAUCCGAGCGUUAUCCGGAUUUAUUGGGUUUAAAGGGAGCGUAGAUGGAUGUUUAAGUCAGUUGUGAAAGUUUGCGGCUCAACCGUAAAAUUGCAGUUGAUACUGGAUAUCUUGAGUGCAGUUGAGGCAGGCGGAAUUCGUGGUGUAGCGGUGAAAUGCUUAGAUAUCACGAAGAACUCCGAUUGCGAAGGCAGCCUGCUAAGCUGCAACUGACAUUGAGGCUCGAAAGUGUGGGUAUCAAACAGGAUUAGAUACCCUGGUAGUCCACACGGUAAACGAUGAAUACUCGCUGUUUGCGAUAUACUGCAAGCGGCCAAGCGAAAGCGUUAAGUAUUCCACCUGGGGAGUACGCCGGCAACGGUGAAACUCAAAGGAAUUGACGGGGGCCCGCACAAGCGGAGGAACAUGUGGUUUAAUUCGAUGAUACGCGAGGAACCUUACCCGGGCUUAAAUUGCAGAUGAAUUACGGUGAAAGCCGUAAGCCGCAAGGCAUCUGUGAAGGUGCUGCAUGGUUGUCGUCAGCUCGUGCCGUGAGGUGUCGGCUUAAGUGCCAUAACGAGCGCAACCCUUGUUGUCAGUUACUAACAGGUUCCGCUGAGGACUCUGACAAGACUGCCAUCGUAAGAUGUGAGGAAGGUGGGGAUGACGUCAAAUCAGCACGGCCCUUACGUCCGGGGCUACACACGUGUUACAAUGGGGGGUACAGAGGGCCGCUACCACGCGAGUGGAUGCCAAUCCCCAAAACCUCUCUCAGUUCGGACUGGAGUCUGCAACCCGACUCCACGAAGCUGGAUUCGCUAGUAAUCGCGCAUCAGCCACGGCGCGGUGAAUACGUUCCCGGGCCUUGUACACACCGCCCGUCACACCAUGAGAGUUGGGAAUACCCGAAGCCUGUGAGCCAACUGUAAAGAGGCAGCAGUCGAAGGUAGAAUCAAUGAUUGGGGUG